rnacentral:rRNA from 1 species
GGCGAACGGGUGAGUAAUGCGUGACCAACCUGCCCCAUGCUCCAGAAUAGCUCUUGGAAACGGGUGGUAAUGCUGGAUGCUCCAACUUGACGCAUGUCUUGUUGGGAAAGUGUUUAGUGGCAUGGGAUGGGGUCGCGUCCUAUCAGCUUGUAGGCGGGGUAAUGGCCCACCUAGGCUUCGACGGGUAGCCGGCCUGAGAGGGCGGACGGCCACAUUGGGACUGAGACACGGUCCAAACUCCUACGGGAGGCAGCAGGU